AGAGUUUGAUCCUGGCUCAGGACGAACGCUGGCGGCGUGCUUAACGCAUGCAAGUCGAACGGAGCUAUUAGCAAUAGUAGCUUAGUGGCGGACGGGUGAGUAACGCGUGGGCAACCUGCCUCAUACUGGGGGAUAACACCGGGAAACCGGUGCUAAUACCGCAUAACAUCACCGAGGGGCAUCUUUUGGUGAUCAAAGGAGCAAUCCGGUGUGAGAUGGGCCCGCGUCCGAUUAGAUAGUUGGUGAGGUAACGGCCCACCAAGUCGACGAUCGGUAGCCGAACUGAGAGGUUGAUCGGCCACAUUGGGACUGAGACACGGCCCAGACUCCUACGGGAGGCAGCAGUGGGGAAUAUUGCGCAAUGGAGGAAACUCUGACGCAGCAACGCCGCGUGAAGGAUGAAGGUUUUCGGAUUGUAAACUUCUUUGAUGAGGGACGAAGAAAUGACGGUACCUCAAAAACAAGCCACGGCUAACUACGUGCCAGCAGCCGCGGUAAUGCGUAGGUGGCGAGCGUUGUCCGGAAUUACUGGGUGUAAAGGGCGUGUAGGCGGGUUGGCAAGUCAGAUGUGAAACCCCACGGCUUAACUGUGGGACUGCAUCUGAAACUGCUGAUCUUGAGUGCUGGAGAGGAAAGCGGAAUUCCCAGUGUAGCGGUGAAAUGCGUAGAGAUUGGGAGGAACACCAGUGGCGAAGGCGGCUUUCUGGACAGUAACUGACGCUGAGGCGCGAAAGCGUGGGGAGCAAACAGGAUUAGAUACCCUGGUAGUCCACGCCGUAAACGAUGGAUACUAGGUGUAGGAGGUAGCCCUUCAGUGCCGAAGCUAACGCAUUAAGUACCCCGCCUGGGGAGUACGGCCGCAAGGUUAAAACUCAAAUGAAUUGACGG
rnacentral:rRNA from 1 species